rnacentral:rRNA from 1 species
CUUGAGUGCGGGUGCUAUACAUGCAAGUCGAGCGGACCGACGGGAGCUUGCUCCCUUAGGUCAGCGGCGGACGGGUGAGUAACACGUGGGUAACCUGCCUGUAAGACUGGGAUAACUCCGGGAAACCGGGGCUAAUACCGGAUGCUUGAUUGAACCGCAUGGUUCAAUCAUAAAAGGCGGCUUCGGCUGCCGUUUACAGAUGGACCCGCGGCGCAUUAGCUAGUUGGUGAGGUAACGGCUCACCAAGGCGACGAUGCGUAGCCGACCUGAGAGGGUGAUCGGCCACACUGGGACUGAGACACGGCCCAGACUCCUACGGGAGGCAGCAGUAGGGAAUCUUCCGCAAUGGACGAAAGUCUGACGGAGCAACGCCGCGUGAGUGAUGAAGGUUUUCGGAUCGUAAAGCUCUGUUGUUAGGGAAGAACAAGUACCGUUCGAAUAGGGCGGUACCUUGACGGUACCUAACCAGAAAGCCACGGCUAACUACGUGCCAGCAGCCGCGGUAAUACGUAGGUGGCAAGCGUUGUCCGGAAUUAUUGGGCGUAAAGCGCGCGCAGGCGGUUUCUUAAGUCUGAUGUGAAAGCCCCCGGCUCAACCGGGGAGGGUCAUUGGAAACUGGGGAACUUGAGUGCAGAAGAGGAGAGUGGAAUUCCACGUGUAGCGGUGAAAUGCGUAGAGAUGUGGAGGAACACCAGUGGCGAAGGCGACUCUCUGGUC